rnacentral:tRNA from 1 species
ACCUGAGUGGCUCGGCUGGUUGAGCGUCUGACUUCGGCUCAGGUCAUGAUCUCGCGUUUUGUGGGUUUGAAUCCCCCAUCAGGCU